UGGGGAAUCUUGCGCAAUGGGCGAAAGCCUGACGCAGCAACGCCGCGUGCGGGAUGAAGGCCUUCGGGUUGUAAACCGCUUUCAGCAGGGAAGAAAUUGACGGUACCUGCAGAAGAAGCCCCGGCCAACUACGUGCCAGCAGCCGCGGUAACACGUAGGGGGCGAGCGUUGUCCGGAUUUAUUGGGCGUAAAGAGCUCGUAGGCGGUUCGGUAAGUCGGGUGUGAAACCUCCAGGCUCAACCUGGAGACGCCACCUGAUACUGCUGUGACUAGAGUCCGGUAGGGGAGUGUGGAACUCCUGGUGUAGCGGUGAAAUGCGCAGAUAUCAGGAAGAACACCAGCGGCGAAGGCGGCACUCUGGGCCGGUACUGACGCUGAGGAGCGAAAGCGUGGGUAGCAAACAGG
rnacentral:rRNA from 2 species